CUUCCAGAAGCCUCCCAGACCGACUUUUUUGCUCUCUUUUCUUCCUCUUUCUCCUUCACUCCCUCAGACGACUACCUCCUCAACUGCGGCUCUUCCUCCAACGCCGCCUUCUUCAACCACUUUAAGUUGUUGGGUUUACACAAGAAGUGAAACACAGAGACACAUCCGUUCGAUCUUUUGUUGUUGGUUGCUUAUCAAAGGAGUGUUGAGAACGAGAGGAUUUUCAUCUGUGCCCUGUUUGCCGGCAUGAAAGUUUUUGCUGGAUCUUCAGGAUUGCCUGCUUUUCUGAGUUAAAGUUUUGCAGUUCUCUAAGGUUGAAUUGCUCCCACAAGGCUUGGAAACCUGGUUUCAAUUGUUUCCAGUAGGUUUGGACAUCCGGUUUCUUUUACAGAAGAAAUACUGAAAGCGAAGUAGAGAUUCAUAGAAAGAUUUGGAUCAGGUUUGGGAGGGAUCUUUCAGCAAAAGAAGAGACACUAGAAACGGUGUGCUAUCAGCUUCUGUAACUGUGGAUUCAGUUAUGGCGUCAAAGAUGAGAUGCAGCAGAACAAAAAAAAUUGAUACAACAAGGUCAUGCUGAAAAUUAUAAUGAUCAAAGGAGAAUGCAAGAAAUCUAUAAUCAUCAGAAUUUUGUUUCCAGUACAGUUCAAAGUGAAGGUUCUGUUUUUAAGAGAGGUCAACAUUCUGAGGUUAAAUCAAGGAUAUCAAGACGUGCAUUUGAGUUAGCAAUGACAGAACAGAAUCAAUGUCUAGACAGUCAGUAUAGUUCUGUAUGUCAAAAUGUGAAUAUAUCUGAACAUCGGAACAAACGAUUUAGAGAAACAUUGGAGCAUUCAGAAAGUAGUAGUUCUUCUCAAUUUGUGCAGACCGAUGAAAUUAUACAUACAUCUAAAGCCGAAACACUAUUCCUCGACACUGUUCAUUCAACUGUUCAUUUAACAUUGAAAUGACGUUUUUGCCCUUCUAUUGGAUUGGAAGAUGUUCUUUGCCCGAUCUACGGUUCUGAGACCGUCAAUUUGUUUUGGUGAAAGGAAAAAAAGAGUGAUCGAUAGAGAGAGACUGUGAGAGGAAAAAAAGAGUGAUCGAUCUAGAUUUAGAAACUGUGAAAGGAGACAUAAUUUAGAAAGAAGGAGAACUGGGAUCUGAUUCUGGAUUUGUUUUUGGUUGCUUGGAAGGGUUUGACUUACCCACAUCGGUUGAUAGUCGGUAAUUUAGAAAGAAGGAGAAGAAGGAUUUGAAGCCGGUUUUGCUCUUUGUCGUUGGUGAAUUAGGGCCUGUCGCUGUCAAUUUGGAUCAGAGGGUCGGUUUUGAAGAGAAAGAGAGAGAAAGGUUGUCGUUCAGACCCAAAAAACAAAAACAAAAACAAAAGAAAGGUUUGUGGUGUUUGAAGAGGAUUUGGUUUCAACAGUACCGAAUUUGUGGCUUUAGUGAGUUUGACAAGAGUUUUCUUUGUAAAGUCUGAGGCAUUCAAAUAGAAAAGGGAAGAAGGGAAAUCAGUUUCAUCUCGAAUUUCAUAGAAAAUCAGCAUUCUCAUACAUCUAUAUGCACAGGAACAAAAAGAAUAAAGCUGCAAGUACAUCUGUCCAGCAUAACAGAAGGACAAUGCUUCAACAUGUAACCAAUGCUUUUUCUCAUACAUUCUGUUUCACUUGGACUUCCACAAAUUCAUCUCUAUGAUCGUACAUUAGUAAUUCCCGCAGCAAAGCGCGGGUGCUCUUUCUAGUUAUAUAUAAACACUACCAGACACCCUACCUUUUAGAAGUAAACAGUUUUCAAUAUUAUUGAAGUGCAAUUGAGAUAUUAACGCAUGGUAUAUACAUUACAGUCCUCAUUGUGGAACAAAUUCUCUAUCUUCUCUUAUCCACUUUUUGGUUGUGGGGUGUCUGAGCUUCGUUUGUGAAGCAUUUUCUCAAACUCUUUCCUUCGUCUUUUAACUUUCGGAGUUCUGUAGGUACGUCCUUAAAAUAGCAAAAUGCUUUUCUUUAUGACCA